CUGGGGGGAAAGUACAAUUGACUGCAAUUACACUUUGAAAAAUGUUAUCUGUGCCACUGACCACUGGGGAUAAAGGAGGGGGUUUCAGUUGUUUCUUCGAGCUUCACGUUCUUUUUCCCAACUUUUUUGUUGUUGCUGGGUAUUUUUUCCUUUCCUUCACCCUACAGGUCACCUCAGGUUGAGGAAGGGUUGAGAGAAGGGAUCUGUGCUGGCCCAAAGUUGUGGGGACCCUCCUUGCUGUGUCCUGGAAAAAGGGUCCCACCACGGGGUUUUUCUCACACUUGGAGCAUGAGGCAGAUGGCCCAUCAGUGUAGGCUCACCCAUGGAUGAGGAAUCCCACAGGAAAGAGGAGCUGCUCUCAGGUCCUGUCUCCAGGAGGAUUUAGCCAUCCAUCUGUCCAGGCUGCUGUUUGUUCCUGCCCUUGAGCAUCCCUGCUCCCCCCAGGGCACCCUCACACCCUGCACCAGAUGGGCGUCCAGCACCCAGUCUCAGACCCUCCUUGGGGCCCACAGAGAGGAAGGUGGAAGAUCUGUUUGAGCUCAAUCCAACCCAAAAACUCAUGGCACUGCCCAGGCUUGAGCACAGGCACCUCGGGAAGCACCAGAGGUUGGCACCUCCACCCCACAGCAGGUCACUGGGGAUGUGGAGCACCAGCCCCUCACUUCCAGGACACACGGACACCGUUUCACUUCCAGGACGCACCGACACAACUCAGCACUGGCUCGGGAGCAGCGGAAGAGUUUCACACCUUGGCAAAACAAUGUUCAAGGAGGAAAUGAGCAGCCAGGAGCUGUAAUUGAGAUGGAUGGAAGGGCAGCCGGCUUCCCCCAAAGCGUUCCAGGCAACAGACUGGAGAGGAAUAUGAAGUGCUUCUGCUCUCUAACGAUCGCCACGCUGCGGCUAAAUUAUUAAUGACGAGGAAUGAUUUCAUAUUUAAUCUAAAGACUAUUAAUUACACUGCAGAACAGCAACACACACCAUCCUGAGAGCCCCUCUCACCAAGUGAAUAAUUCAGGGAUGCCCCAUAUUUUACCUCAAUGUCAAGGAGGGCGGUGACACCCCCCCUGCCUGAGCAGCCCUGUGGUGUUUGGGGCACACACUGAUGUCCCGAGGGGUUCCUGGUGCUGAGGAGCAACCCCGACCUCUGAGCCCACCAGAGAGAUGAAGGGCACUGGGCAGAGGGGGGUUACUGGGGGCUCCCUUGGGGCUGGGGGCAUGGCUGUCCCUGCUCACUCAGAGCCCAGUGGCAGCCCCAGCUCUGGGAACACUGAAGACAGAUGUUUAUUUGUCCAGGAUUAUUUGCUGAUCACUGUUACAGUGAUCCAAGAUGAUCAUUAAAAAGUGAAAUGGGCUGUUUAAUAAUGAUGCUGAGAGCGCGCAGUGUGCCUCACAUUACGAGGAUGUUUAAGCAUGAGCCCAAUUAAGUCCCUCACAUCCCUGCAGAAUUACCCCAGUUGUGCAAACUAUUAGGCAAACUCCAGGCUUCUUGUACUCACAGGCAAUCCUGGAGCCUGGCACUCUGCUAGAGCCCCAUUUCUGUCCUGAAGCUAAAUUAAAAUCCUAUUGUGCCAGUGCCGCUAAUAUUUCCUGCUCUUGUUUCCAACAAUUAAAUUGUGACAUUCUGCCAAAACAUACGAGGAAAUGAGAAAACGCUCUGGAUCAGCUGGAAAAAAGAGAAGGCAAAUCCUCCCAGCUGCCUCCUGCCACCCAGAUGCCACAGUGAGAGUCUCAGGUUAAACGGCACCUGAUGGAUGGGGGGGGGAUGUGGGGAUUCAUCAUUCCUGUGUGGGAAGUGGGACUUCAAAUACGAAGUUGAAGGGGUUUUCUUCUCAGUUUAGGAAAGAAAUCUGGGAACUGGGUCAUGCAAUGCCAAAAGGGAAAGUGCUGAUGUACUGAUGGCAAGAGUUAGGGGGUGCGGGGCUGUAGGGGUGGUGGUACUGGAGCAGCUUUGGUGGCACUGCCCAGCUGGGUCACCCCAUCACAGCUGAGGAUGAGGGAUGACUUCAGGGAUGAUUCCUGCCCCUGACACUCCCAGUGGUCUGAUCCUGCUGCCCUUCUCUCACAGGGACUGCACAUCCUUUUAAAUAUCCCCUGAAUUCUAAUUCUCUUUCCCUCCUUGAUCUUCUCCCCUGGUCGAUGCCCACCCAGCGCUCCUCAGGGAGGGCACGGCUGGUCCCCUGCCCCACACUGCCUUCAAACCCCCACAGUGACCACCCCAGUGCCCCCAGAGCAAUGUCCCCCUGGUUGAUGAGGGCUGUGGCUGCUCUUGGGCAUCAAAGAGCUGGUGGGCACCCCGAGGGUGUUGGUGACCCUGCAGUGGCACAGGCAGGGACUGGCACCUGCAGAGC